AGCAUGUAACCGGAUUAUGAACUGCAGCAACGCACAAUAAGUCACUUGAGAUUACUGGACCCAAAGGAAGAACUGAAGCACACAAAUAAUUUAACAGACUAUGAAAAUCAUUAAGUUGAUGGGACAACAAUUGCACAGCCAAUAGAGGAAAUGUUGACAGCCCUUCGUUAUGUCCCAAAACUGAUUAAUUCAGCAAACAAAUUCGGCCUUGAUCUCCCUGCACCAUCGGCAUCAUUUUCAGGAGACAUUGAAAUGAGGAGGUACUUGCCCAGUACACUCUGACUGACAAGUCUGGGAAAAGGGGCCCCUAAACGUCAGUUGACCAAAGUGCAGGCCAUAACUGGUAUUUGAUGGUGGGUGAUGCAGUGCAGUCCAAGAAAUAAGAAAAUGUUCUGUUAUUCUUCUGCGUUGGAAGCAUUUCCAUUGUUUCAGCAAACACGGUGGACUCGUUUAGUGCUUAUAUUA